ACUGGACCCAAGAACAAUGCAUAUAAUGUAGAGGCCCCUCCUAAGAAAAAUUAGAACCGACCCUUCCGUAAGAAUUUCAAAAAGAAACCCUACAACCCUAGAAACCCUAACCACCACUAUAAUAGGAAACCUAUUCAAUCCCAGGAGCAGAAGAAGAAGAAAGAGGAAGAUGGUGCUCGUUUCUGUUAUGUGUGUGGUCGAACCAAUCAUUUGUCUCCCCAUUGCUUCUAUAAGAAGACUGC
rnacentral:lncRNA from 1 species